rnacentral:lncRNA from 1 species
GGAAAGGGAACUGAACCUUUUAAUUCAUUGCAUGCAAAUGAACCUUUUAAUUAGUCACAUGUAGGUAUGACAAGGGCUAAAAGGGAGAGAAGAGGGAUGUUUCUUUAUUUUUUAGAGUUUAAAUUGUUAAGACUUAUAUUAUAGAGCUCGUGAACACUUUUCCGUGACCCUUAAAUGUGGUGGGAUCACACUCACCGACAGGGGUGGUAAUAACCACUGAUCUCAUUCUCUCUUUUAACAAAGGAUCUCCGAGUCGUGGUGUUCAGCCUUGCUGCCCCAGGGACAUAGUGCUCAUCUAUCUUCUGAAUCAACCUGCUUGCUGUUGUUGCUAAACUUGGCAAAGGCCUGGCCUAACACCUGGGGUGGUCUGGCUUAAAGUGACGUGGUGGCAUCACAGAUCUAAGGAGAGAUAAGGUCCACAGAGCAAAAAUCUGUGGUGCCACAGAGCCAGAAUUUGGUGGUCAUGGUAGCCAACCAACUGUUUCGUGCA